rnacentral:rRNA from 1 species
GAUGAACGCUGGCGGCAUGCCUAAUACAUGCAAGUCGAACGAGAGGAAGGAAAGCUUGCUUUCCUGCAUCUAGUGGCGAACGGGUGAGUAACACGUAAGUAACCUGCCCAUGUGCCCGGGAUAACUUCUGGAAACGGAUGCUAAAACCGGAUAGGUAGCAGACAAGCAUUUGACUGCUAUUAAAGUGGCCUUGGCCAUGAACAUGGAUGGACCUGCGGUGCAUUAGCUGGUUGGGGAGGUAACGGCCCACCAAGGCGACGAUGCAUAGCCGGCCUGAGAGGGCGGACGGCCACAUUGGGACUGAGACACGGCCCAAACUCCUACGGGAGGCAGCAGUAGGGAAUUUUCGUCAAUGGGGGGAACCCUGAACGAGCAAUGCCGCGUGAGUGAGGAAGGUCUUCGGAUCGUAAAGCUCUGUUGUAAGAGAAAAACGGCACUCAUAGGGAAUGAUGAGUGAGUGAUGGUAUCCUACCAGAAAGUCACGGCUAACUACGUGCCAGCCGCCGCUGUAAUAC